rnacentral:rRNA from 1 species
UACGUAGGGUGCAAGCGUUAAUCGGAAUACUGGGCGUAAAGCGUGCGCAGGCGGUGAUGUAAGACAGGUGUGAAAUCCCCGGGCUUAACCUGGGAACUGCAUUUGUGACUGCAUCGCUGGAGUGCGGCAGAGGGGGAUGGAAUUCCGGCGUGUAGCAGUGAAAUGCGUAGAUAUGCGGAGGAACACCGAUGGCGAAGGCAAUCCCCUGGGCCUGCACUGACGCUCAUGCACGAAGCGUGGGGAGCAACAGG